rnacentral:misc_RNA from 1 species
GAUGAAGAACUUAGCGAAAUGCGAUAAGUAAUGUGAAUUGCAGAAUUCAGUGAAUCAUCGAAUCUUUGAACGCACAUUGCGCCCCCCAGUAUUCUGGCGGGCAUGCCUGUUCGAGCGUCAUUUCAACCAUCAAGCCCUGCUUGUGUUGGGGUCCUGCGGCUGCCCGCAGGCCCUGAAAACCAGUGGCGGGCUCGCUAGUCACACCGAGCGCAGUAGCACAUCUCGCUCAGGGCGUGCGGCGGGCUCCAGCCGUUAAAGCACCCACCUUUCGCAAGGUUGACCUCGGAUCAGGUAGGAAUACCCGCUGAACUUAAGCAUAUCAAUAAGCGGAGGA